CGGUACGCUUUGAGCACGAACAGAGGAACGACAGCAAGGCAGCGAUGGCGAAGGGGACUCCGGCGGAGCUCUGGCAUUCCCUUUUAUAGCUGCGCAGAAGAGAGAGGGUUGGAGCGGCGCGAAGACCGGGAAGAAGCGAUCGAGUGCUCUGCCGGGGCAGAGAUUGAGCAGCGGUGCGGUGGAGCAGGACUUCGGGGACGACACCGUCGACCAUUGCGCACCAG
rnacentral:lncRNA from 1 species